GACAGAGGCCCCCAAGCGUUAUCCGGAAUCACUGGGCGUAAAGGAUGUGUAGAUGGUUGUGCUAGUCUCCCGUAAAAACUUCUUGCUCAACAGGAAGCCCGCGGGGGAAACGGCACGACUUGAGGGCGCGAGAGGUAUAUGGAACUCAUGGUGUAGGGGUGAAAUCCGUUGAUAUCAUGGGGAACACCAAAUGCGAAGGCAAUAUACUGGCGCGUUCCUGACAUUGAGACAUGAAAGCGUGGGUAGCGAAUGGGAUUAGAAA
rnacentral:rRNA from 1 species